CAGAAAUCCUCGCCAAGCAAUCUCUGACCAUCUCAAGACCAGUGGAAGAAACCCUGGGCUCCAGAGGAACUCGAGAGGAGAGCUACUGACCGGUGCCUCUCCAAGGAAAAGGCCUUGCACAGCCUCUGCUUCCCCACCAAGGAAAAGCCCUCAAGAGCCUGCACAGCAAGACUGCAGCCAGGACCGUGACGUCAGUGCCACCCAGAAACUGCUUGUCCUUCCAGAUCCUUCCAUGGGGAACAGAGGCUUUUAUUCCUCCAAUAGAGAUGCUGCUGAUGUGUGAACCAGAGCUUUGCAGCCUCUGUGUCCACCGGAUCAAGAGGUGUAUGAACAGACGGAUCCACGCAGGCCUCGGGCACGUGGACGGGGCUCAGAGCCACACUCCCCACCCUGACCAACCAGCCCCCUCUAGCCUUGGGUGGUGGUCCCAGCGACAGUACAAACGUCACCGUUCCCUGUGACGGACAGGAAGUGAAGAUAGUCAGAGGGCAGCAGAUCGUCCUGGUGAGCAGAUUUUCAACAGCGUGAGUUCUGCCAGAGGCACCCCACCCCCUCAGCUUUUUAGCCAGCCCCCGUCACUACCUGCAGGAGGUGGGGCCAGGGCUUUGGUGGAGAAAGAUUUGCAUAAAUCCAGCCAUCCCAGAAUCCUCCCUGGUCAAUUUUUUUUUUCCCCAUUCUUAUCCAAGAAGAGUCCAAGACUUUUAUCCAAGAGAAGAGUCUGCCUCAGCCAGCCUCAUGUCCUUCCUCUUCUCUGGCCCUGUGCUCGGAAUUCGGGAGCAGAUGUGGCAGCCUGUGACUGUGCCCUUUAGCCCUGGUGGCGGGGGACACCUCCCGUUACCAUUCUGCAGGAAGACUCCAGAACUGACAACCAGGCUUACCUCUGGCGGGUCCAUCAACCAAGUCCUCCUCCCCCCACACUGAAGGGAUUAUUUUAAAAAUGAGAAUGUGAUAGAUUUUCUAAGCCAGAGCUAUAUUGCUUUCCCCCAAAGCAGUUUUCAAACAUUUCAAAAAUGUUAGCUAGUGAGUCCAAAAGCUCCUUUUAUUCUUUCUGUUUUCUCCCACUCUGAAAAUACACACACGUAGAUCUGUGUACACAGCACACUUGAAGGCAUAUUUUCCAGGAUGUAACUAACAAAGGGAAGAAUGUGGUGGUGGUUGGAAUUCUGGCGCUUGCAAGACAUGGGUCUGUGCUCUGCAUUUCAGUACAGAGGUGAUCACACUGUUAUGGGCAGAGCAUCUGCUCCCUUCACCUGCAGCCUCCACCCUCCUCUUCCUCUGCUCCCUGACCUGACCCGAGAGGCGUUUGAACUAACACGAUCAAGGUGUCGGGACCAGUAUCCCACCCUCCCGCCACCGUGCUUGGCAAGUUCCCAGGGCCUGCAAGUCACACACGGGCCAAGUCGUGGCCUCUUUCCAACAAAAUGGGUACAUGUCCAUGUCAGGCCCAUCUUGCUGCCCUUCGUUAUAACUGUGGUCAAGGAGAAAGGAGUAAGUAGGCUUGGGUACUACAAGGCAAAGCAAUAUUCGAUAAUAUUCGAAUAUUGCUAGCAACAAUAUUCGAAAGUUUAACAUAUGCUUAUUUUCUAAAAUGUAAGACCUCCAUGGUGAUUGGGGGACUUGGGUGCCCGUCUUCAAUUCUUGUGCCGCAAAGGCCGGGAGGAAACCAUCCCUUUCCCAGGUGCUCUGACCUUGGCCUUGGGAUGCGUGGGCCCACUCCCCAUGUACAGAGGCGGCAUCCUUUGCACAUGGCAGGGCUGUGCGGAGAAACGGGCCCCUGGUGCCUGGGACAUUCCUUCACAGAGGCUCUCCUAGCAACAUGGCGACGCCAGCCAACCCAACAAUGACCUUUUGUCUCUAGCUCUCCUCAGCUCUGUGGCCAUUAGUCUCACCAGAAAACUCAAAGGAUAUUUUGCAAGAGAAGAGUGGUUGCGAGCUAAAGCUCUGAAUCAGUUGCUUUCCUCUGCUUUCUGCAAAUAUCAAACUGGGCUUGCGCCAGAUGAUCGCUUUAGGAGCAGGAAGUACCUAGAGAGGUGCCCUGGAUGGGGGAAAGCUGAGUCUGGAUGGCCCUCGUCCUGGCUCCGGGUAGGGAAGCCCCUCUGUACCACAUCCCUGAACUGUCUGGACCUUAGUGUCCUCAUCUUCCAAAUGAAGCACUAAUUCUCAACAGCGCAGAGUCCUUGCUAACAGUCCAGAUUCCCGAGCCAACAGUAGUUCCCCUGCUGACUCAGAAUCUCUGGGACUGAGCUCCGCCAACGUGACUUUUCACCAAAGGCCAAUAUAGACCUUGCUGAACAAUUGUAAAAACGCUUAGGUAAUUAACUUUCUAAUUUUGUUUACUUGGCACGAGAGGACCAACACACACACACUCAGGAUUGGUAUGCUACAUGCAUUGUGGGGAAUGUGUUUUUUUUUUCUGAUAGAGUUUGCAAAGGACAGAACCAGCCCAUUUUCUUUGCUGUUCCUGGUUAGUUAUCUUCUAUACAAGAAUGUAAAUCAUGCCUCUCUAUCGGCAAAUCACUUUGGACUGUGUGCUUCCAAUAGAUACACUUUAAAAAUUUUGAUAUAUCUGUAUUUACUUAUAUUUUGCUUUAGUAUGAACAUGUUACGACUGUGUUCCUAAUGUUAAAAAAAUAAAUGUUUUUAAAGGAAAAAAGUUGAAGUGGGAUGUUAAAAAUUUGGUUAGUGAAAAUUUUGGUUUAAUACUUCCUGAAAUAGUGAGAUCAGCAAUAAUUUGUGGGAGUUCCUGUAGUGGCUCAGUGGCAGCAAACCCUACUAGCAUCCAUGAGCACGUGAGUUUGAUCUCUGGCCCUGCUCAGUGGGUUAAGGAUCUGGCGUUGGCAUGAGCUGUGGUGUAGGUGGCAGACAGGGCUUGGAUCCGGCAUUGCUGUGGCUGUGGCUGGCAGCUGCAGCUCCAGUUCGAUCCCUAGCCUGGGAACUUCCAUGAUGCCAUGGGUGUGGCACUAAAAAGCCAAAAAAAAAGAGCAAAAACCAAGCAAACCCAAAACAACUUGUGAUGUUGGUUUUGAGUUCACUACAUUUUAUUGCUUAGUUGUAAUACAUAAAAAUGUGCUUCACAAAAGUAUGUGGAUUUAAGUGGGAAAAGUGCCCUGAUUUUACUGCACUUAACAAAAUCAUGAUAUUGAUUUUUGUAAGUCCCUCUGCUAAUUGUCCCAAGGUUUCUUAUGAGCUAGUAAAUUUCCGUUUUUCUGAAUG
rnacentral:lncRNA from 1 species